CAGAGCUCCCUCUGGCUCCCACUAUAAAUACUGCGUAACCUACGGGACCUUCAGUUGAUAACUGUUCUUUGAGGUGAUUGUUGCUAGGCUUAAAAUUUAAAUUCGCUAAUUUGUUCCUUAAAUUGUGAAAUUGUGUUUAUUAUAAUAUCUCAAAGUGGAAAAUAGACAAGUACUUAUCUCGAUCGGAGUGAUCGGAGCUUUAGACCGGAAAUCAAUUUAUACUUUAAUAAUCACCCUUCAAGAAAGUUUUCAUUAAAUAUAAAAAUAUUCUGAUAUUUUAGUAAUAAUUCUUCAGUGAAUUGGAGUUUAUUGUGUUUCGUAUUGUCAAUCGGUUGAAAUUAGCCGACAGAAGAAAGUGCAAGUGUUGGAAAUAUUUUUCUUUCUCGGUCGGUAAAAAUUUAUCGAAGAAGAAAUAGUGAAUGUGUUUGGAAUAUUUGUGUUGUUUUUUCAAUUUAAUCCGUCGUGUUAAUUGUUUGAUAAAGAUUAACAAGAUGUUUUUUCUGGACAGUGAUAAUUCGGGAUUGUUCAAUAAGCGAUUAGAACAUUGUUGUAUAAAGCAAGAUGGCGCCGCUACAAGUGUCAUUGGUCAGUUUUGCAAUUCUAAAUUUGUGUUUCGAAAGUUUUAAACAAUAUUAGUGAUUAGUGGUGUUAAUUAUGUGAUAUAAUUGUAAUGAAAAUUAAAUGUCUAUACAUAUAAGUGAAGUUUCCUGAAAGGAUAAAAUGAAGAAAUAGGAAGAAAAGAAGUUAUAUAUCUACUACUUUACUGACGGAGUAGCUCUGUAUUGGAGGAUAAUGUACCAGCUAAGUUUAUUCAUUUCAAAAUCCAACAUUCUUCGUUCGGUGAGUCUUUAUUAUGUUUUGACUAUAAUUUACAGUGACAAGACAUUAUUGCAUUUAUUAUAAGUUGUCACUAUUUUCGUUAUUUGUACAUGGACGGUAUGUGAGAGAACCGUCAAAAUGAGUGUCGCUGAUGCAAAAA